CCCCGCUAUUGGAUGAGCCUAUGUCGGAUUAGCUAGUUGGUGAGGUAAAGGCUCACCAAGGCGACGAUCCGUAGCUGGUCUGAGAGGAUGAUCAGCCACAUCGGGACUGAGACACGGCCCGAACUCCUACGGGAGGCAGCAGUGGGGAAUAUUGGACAAUGGGCGAAAGCCUGAUCCAGCCAUGCCGCGUGUGUGAAGAAGGCCCUCGGGUUGUAAAGCACUUUCAGCGAGGAAGAACGCCUAGUGGUUAAUACCCAUUAGGAAAGACAUCACUCGCAGAAGAAGCACCGGCUAACUCCGUGCCAGCAGCCGCGGUAAUACGGAGGGUGCAAGCGUUAAUCGGAAUUACUGGGCGUAAAGCGCGCGUAGGUGGCUUGAUAAGCCGGUUGUGAAAGCCCCGGGCUCAACCUGGGAACGGCAUCCGGAACUGUCAAGCUAGAGUGCAGGAGAGGAAGGUAGAAUUCCCGGUGUAGCGGUGAAAUGCGUAGAGAUCGGGAGGAAUACCAGUGGCGAAGGCGGCCUUCUGGACUGACACUGACACUGAGGUGCGAAAGCGUGGGUAGCAAACAGGAUUAGAUACCCUGGUAGUCCACGCCGUAAACGAUGUCGACCAGCCGUUGGGUGCCUAGCGCACUUUGUGGCGAAGUUAACGCGAUAAGUCGACCGCCUGGGGAGUACGGCCGCAAGGUUAAAACUCAAAUGAAUUGACGGGGGCCCGCACAAGCGGUGGAGCAUGUGGUUUAAUUCGAUGCAACGCGAAGAACCUUACCUACUCUUGACAUCCUGCGAACUUGUGAGAGAUCACUUGGUGCCUUCGGGAACGCAGAGACAGGUGCUGCAUGGCUGUCGUCAGCUCGUGUUGUGAAAUGUUGGGUUAAGUCCCGUAACGAGCGCAACCCUUGUCCUUAUUUGCCAGCGCGUAAUGGCGGGAACUCUAAGGAGACUGCCGGUGACAAACCGGAGGAAGGUGGGGACGACGUCAAGUCAUCAUGGCCCUUACGAGUAGGGCUACACACGUGCUACAAUGGCCGGUACAAAGGGUUGCGAGCUCGCGAGAGUCAGCUAAUCCCGAAAAGCCGGUCUCAGUCCGGAUCGGAGUCUGCAACUCGACUCCGUGAAGUCGGAAUCGCUAGUAAUCGUGAAUCAGAAUGUCACGGUGAAUACGUUCCCGGGCCUUGUACACACCGCCCGUCACACCAUGGGAGUGGACUGCACCAGAAGUGGUUAGCUUAACCUUCGGGAAAGCGAUCACCACGGUGGGG
rnacentral:rRNA from 1 species